rnacentral:misc_RNA from 1 species
AAAAAAUUCAAAAGUAGUAUCAAAGUCCUGAAAAUAAUUCCACUGCUAAUGAGCUCUCUCGUUGAUGAUCAAAAUAUAAUGUUAAUUUGAUUUGAAAUAAAGAAGGUGAUUUAAGAGUUGAAAAUCUCGAGGGUGAUUGGUGCUCAUCAAUAUCAUGAAUGGUCCCUGUUUUGAAGAUUCCAUUUCAGUGUUUCCCUUUCAAAUUAUCAAUCUUCUGCUCAUUUUCUUGGGAAAAUCAUCUUUGCUGGGGGGUAGUAGUGAUUCUGACAUUACUCUGCGGCAUUGAAGAUGCAAUAAAGAGUGGCUUUUGAUGGCCCCGGCCCCUAAUCUGAUAAUGGUUAUGCCUCUGAGGCUCCUUCCGCACCAAAUCGCUCCCACUCUGGUCUCCACUUUUCCUGGUGUUGAGGCAGAUGCAGACUUCUUCUUCUUGUCGUUCUGAGCUUAUUUUGAUGGAGACAUCUGGGUUGGGACGAAUGG